UUAAGAAAGAGAAAACCACAGAAGGUUUUUCAGAAAAGUGUCUUAUGAGAUGUUGUGGCUCAGGACAUUUAUGGACAGGCAUAGGCACAAGAAACAUCAAGAAACAUUUUGCCUUUGCUCUCAAGAGAGUAAGAAGUAUGGCUGCAAUUUCGUUCUAAAGGGGAAGCGUGCUAUGCUAACCACUCAGGUUUUCAGGUCACUGAAUUCACAAGUUGCAGCUUGGUGCUGCUGAUUUCACUAACAAUGCCCAUAUCCACUAUGUUCUUCAAGCAACCUCCCAACUGUUUUUCUGCACAAGUGACAACAGAACACAAAAAUACUGGGGAAAAAGGAGUUUCGGGAGUUCUUUGGUCAUCUUAAUUUUGUUUGCCAUAUGAUUGUGCCAAGAUGAGCUUCUCUUUGCUGGAUUCCUGACAAUGUGUGGCUACGUUGCCCUCAUCAUCAUCAGUGCAUUAUUGUUGGACAUGGAAACACUUGCAGGUCUGGGAGGCAUCAAAAGUGAAGGAGGGGGGGAAAUAAAACACCAUUGAAAAUUAUGUUCUUACCCAUGAGUCGGCAAGAUAAGAGAGGUAAUAACAGUCACAUCUGAAUGGAAAAAGUCUUUCAAAGUGGAAAAGUCUGAACAGCAUGUUGGAGAACCAAUAAUGAAGGAUGGGAAAGCAGAUCUCUGAAAAAGUUAAGGGAGUUCUGAAUUAUGUUUUUUUCCCUUAACCUCAGUUAGCCCUAGCCAGCAUGACCAGUGCUUAGUGUUUAUGGGGGUUGUAGUCUGAAGCAUCAGAAGGGCACCAGUUGGCUGACUUUGCCUUACUGGAUCCUACCAUUUGGUUGGUAUCCAUGACUGUCCCCUGACACUCUUUUCCUAACUCUUCCCAAUCUACUUCAGUGGCCAUUUAUUUUAUUCUUUGAGAUCCAAGCCACUUCAUGUACCCCAAACAUGUUAAUUGCAUACAUUGUAUAGGCAAUAAAAUUUUGUUAUGUGAUAACAUUCCAUUUAGAAUGAGCAAAAAAAAAAAUGCAUUUUGUACUGGUCAUAUGGCUAAUUCUGGCCAAGCAAGGACCAUUUCAAGAAUUUUAGGUGCAUUGACUUCUAGAUCUAUUCAGCCCUCCCUGGAGGCUAAACUCAGUUAUCCAGGCAAGGCAAUUGUGCCCAGUUAUUCAAGAGAUUAUUUCAAUAUUGUUUUAUAAAAUAAUGAAAAUGUUGCUUUUCUGUGUAUUGGGAAACCAAGCAGUAAGAUGAGAUAUUGCAUGAGGAGUUGUACUCUAAAAAGUACACAGAAAUCAUCUAAAAAUUCUUAUCGUCUAUUUUUAGGGCAUAAACAAUAGAAUGUGAGGGUGUGUGUGUGUGUGUGUGUG